rnacentral:ncRNA from 1 species
GUUUUUAUUUAUGAUUGUGCAAGGUGGUAUGUUUAGUAUAUAAUUUUUGCCAAGGAUGCCCAAAUAUUCUUCUUUGGGGAGUAUGUUUAGUAUAUAAUUUUUGCCAAGGAUGCCCAAAUAUUCUUCUUUGGGGCAAUAUGUUUUUGUUUAUGAUUUUUUAUGACUGCGCAAGGUCGUAUGUUUAGUAUAUAGUUCUUGCACAGGAUGUUUUCAUUGAUCAAGAACGAAAGUUAGGGGAUCGAAGACGGUCAGAUACCGUCCCAGUCUUAACCGCAAACUAUGCCAACUAGCUACCGUCCCAGUCUUAACCAUAUACUAUGCCAACUAUGAGGGGGUCGGAGACGAUCAGAUACCGUCCCAGUCUUAGC